rnacentral:rRNA from 1 species
AUGAUGGCCGGUCAUAGUUUAGUAAAGAUUUUAGGUGGGUUUGCUUGGACUAUGCUAUUUCUGAAUAAUAUUUUCUAUUUCAUAGGAGAUCUUGGUCCCUUAUUUAUAGUUCUAGCAUUAACCGGUCUGGAAUUAGGUGUAGCUAUAUCACAAGCUCAUGUUUCUACGAUCUCAAUUUGUAUUUACUUGAAUGAUGCUACAAAUCUCCAUCAAAAUGAGUCAUUUCAUAAUUGA